rnacentral:rRNA from 1 species
UACGUAGGGGGCAAGCGUUUGUCCGGAAUCAUUGGGCGUAAAGCGCGUGUAGGCGGCUCGGUAAGUCCGCUCUGAAAGCCCGGGGCUCAACCCCGGGAGGCGGGUGGAUACUGCUGAGCUCGAGUCCGGAAGAGGAGUGUGGAAUUCCUGGUGUAGCGGUGAAAUGCGCAGAUAUCAGGAGGAACACCGGUGGCGAAGGCGGGUCUCUGGGCCGAUGAUUGACGCUGAGGAGCGAAAGCGUGGGGAGCGAACAGG